rnacentral:rRNA from 1 species
AUGGUAGAACAAAUUCAAUACAAGUGUUGUGUGGUCCUAAAAGAGGCUAACAUCACUGACAAGCGUAUCAAUGAAAUUGUAUUGACUGGGGGGAUGACAAGAGUUCCCAUGAUACGGAGAAUCAUAUAUGACAUAUUUGGCAAGAAUCAGGGUACAAGCGUGAACCAUGAUGAAGCCGUGGUUAUCGGUUCAGCAAUACAAGCUGCUCUCAUUGUGGAAGAUCAGCGUGAGAUGAGAGAAGACAUGAUUCCACUCUCUAUUGGUGUUGAGUCAGAAGGAGUUUUCAUGCGGGUUAUUCCAAGGCAUACCACAAUUCCUACUAAACGGACGGUUAAAAUUCCUUCAUGGUGUGCAUAUGGUGAAAGUCUGCAUCUCAAAGUUUUCCUUGGGGAGCAUGUCAUGGUUAGCCAUAACACAUUCCUAGGAGAGGUAGAGCUAGUCAACAAUCGAUGGUCGGGUCAAGGAUCAGUUCAUUUUGAGCUGACUUUUGAAGUUGACACAGACUACAUGGUCAAAGUAACUGGCAGAAACCCUGGUGACGCCGACGGCGCGAGGAAAGCAACAUUCAAGGUCUUCAAUGUACGCGAGAUCGUUAUGUCUAAGGGCAAAGUCGGCGAGUCCGUUAGGAACGCCUUGCUUGGCUGGUCAAUGCAAGGCAUAGAGAUCCAUGCUCGUCUGGUAAACAUGGGAAAGCAUAUAGCGAAUACCCUCCGCGACGUCUUGUCGGCGAGAAAAGAUGAGGUCCCAAAGAACAUCUAUGAUGAUGCGGCAAAGGCCCUGGCUGAUUUGCUGACGGUGUUGCAUGCGGGCAGCAAAGACGCUGCGCACAUCCAUGUGCUGAAAGAUAAGAUGCUCGCUGCUGCGGCAGAGGAAGAGAAGCUGAUGACGGAUUGGAACCCACCGUCAACGUCUCGUCAUAGAGGUUCUUAUUCAGAUUAUUCAGACUAUGAAGAUGAGGAAGAGAGUGCAUAG